rnacentral:rRNA from 1 species
GAUGAACGCUGGCGGCGUGCCUAAUGCAUGCAAGUCGAGCGAACAGACGAGGAGCUUGCUCCUUCGACGUUAGCGGCGGACGGGUGAGUAACACGUAGGUAACCUACCUAUAAGACUGGGAUAACUUCGGGAAACCGGAGCUAACACCGGAUAAUAUUUCGAACCGCAUGGUUCGAUAGUGAAAGAUGGCUUUGCUAUCACUUAUAGAUGGACCUGCGCCGUAUUAGCUAGUUGGUAAGGUAACGGCUUACCAAGGCAACGAUACGUAGCCGACCUGAGAGGGUGAUCGGCCACACUGGAACGGAGACACGGUCCAGACUCCUACGGGAGGCAGCAGUAGGGAAUCUUCCGCAAUGGGCGAAAGCCUGACGGAGCAACGCCGCGUGAGUGAUGAAGGUCUUCGGAUCGUAAAACUCUGUUAUUAGGGAAGAACAAACGUGUAAGUAACUGUGCACGUCUUGACGGUACCUAAUCAGAAAGCCACGGCUAACUACGUG